rnacentral:rRNA from 1 species
AAAUCUGAAGACGUGAUGUGGACUGAAAAUAAGUAGGGAAGCACGUGAGCUGACUGUCAAGAAAAGCCGCUAUUGUUUGCAGGAUACCCGUACCGUAAACCGACACAGGUGGAUGAGGAGAGAAUCCUAAGGCCGACGGGAGAAGCAUUGUUAAGGAACUCGGCAAAAUGACUCCGUAACUUCGGGAGAAGGAGUGCCAGUAAGAUGGCCGCAGAGAAUUGGCCCAAGCAACUGUUUAGCAAAAACACAGGUCUAUGCAAAACCGAAAGGUGAGGUAUAUGGGCUGACGCCUGCCCGGUGCUGGAAGGUUAAGGGGAGAGGUUAGCGCAAGCGAGGCUUUGAACUUAAGCCCCAGUAAACGGCGGCCGUAACUAUAACGGUCCUAAGGUAGCGAAAUUCCUUGUCGGGUAAGUUCCGACCCGCACGAAAGGCGUAAUGAUUUGGGCACUGUCUCAACAAUGCACCCGGUGAAAUUGAAAUACCAGUGAAGAUGCUGGUUACCUGCGCCAGGACGGAAAGACCCCAUGGAGCUUUACUCCAGCUUGAUACUGGGAUUCGGUAUUGCAUGUACAGGAUAGGUGGGAGGCUAGGAAAUGGUAACGCCAGUUGCCAUGGAGCCAAUGUUGGGAUACCACCCUUGCAGUACUGGGUUUCUAACCAGCAGCCGUGAUCCGGCUGGGGGACAAUGUCAGGUGGGGAGUUUGACUGGGGCGGUCGCCUCCGAAAGGGUAUCGGAGGCGCUCAAAGGUUCCCUCAGAAUGGUUGGAAACCAUUCGAAGAGUGCAAAGGCAGAAGGGAGCUUGACUGCGACACCGACGGGUGGAGCAGGUACGAAAGUAGGACUUAGUGAUCCGGUGGUAUAAAGUGGGAUUGCCAUCGCUCAACGGAUAAAAGCUACCCUGGGAUAACAGGCUUAUCACUCCCAAGAGUUCACAUCGACGGAGUGGUUUGGCACCUCGAUGUCGGCUCAUCGCAUCCUGGGGCUGAAGUAGGUCCCAAGGGUUGGGCUGUUCGCCCAUUAAAGCGGUACGCGAGCUGGGUUCAGAACGUCGUGAGACAGUUCGGUCCCCAUCCGGCGUGGGCGUAAGAUAUUUGAGAGGAGCUGUCCUUAGUACGAGAGGACCGGGAUGGACUGGCCGCUGGUGUAUCUGUUGUCUUACCAAAGGCAUAGCAGAGUAGCCAAGCCGGGAAGGGAUAAACGCUGAAGGCAUCUAAGCGUGAAGCCCCCCUCAAGAUGAGAUAUCUCAUAACGUCAAGUUAGUAAGACCCCUUGAAGACGACGAGGUAGAUAGGGCAGAGGUGGAAGUGUGGUAACACAUGGAGCUGACUGUUACUAAUAGGUCGAGGGCAUAACU